UUAAAAACUAAUUUAAAUAAAAGAAAAAUGAUUAAUUUAUAUCUAAUGUUUUUGCUCAAAUAUAUAUUUAAUUUAGGUGAUGUAUGUCGUAAAGCUCAAUGAUCAAAUAAAGAUUAUGUGUGUACUCAUGCAAAAGAUUGUAAAGCUUUUAAAGAAAGUAUUAUAACUCGUAAUUAUUAUCUUGAUAUAUGUGCAGAGUUCAUUGAUUUAGAAACCGUAGUUAUUGUUGUCCAGUGUUGGCUAAUGAACGGUUAAUUGAAAUACCAUCAACUAAAAAUGGAAAUUCAACAUCCGCUAAUGAAAGAUCAUCCGGGGAUUUCGAUUACCCGGCUCACAACAUUAUACAUUAUAAUAUUACAUGCAUAUUAUCCUUGUGCGAUUGGACACCGUGACAACUGUUUUACGUAGCAGUUGGAAGCACUUUAUUGAGCGAUUAUUAAAAACUGAUUUAGUGAUACCAAACAUUCAAUAACUAAGGGUUUUUUUGCGCUUACCAAGUUUCAAAUAAUCAAAUACCACCACACAUCACUGGCUCUCAGUAAUCAGUAUAUAGUAUAUACCGUUCCGAACGCUAACCACUAUCUACUGCAGCACUGAACAGUAUUAUACAUACGUGAUACGUAGG